rfam:Dipodomys ordii contig_56100, whole genome shotgun sequence.
GGUGGCUCAGUGGUAGAGUGCUUGCCUUGCAUGCAUGAGGUCCUGGGUUCGAUUCCUCAGCACCG